GGGUAAUUUUCCGCAAUGGGCGAAAGCCUGACGGAGCAAUACCGCGUGAGGGACGAAGGCUUUUGGGUCGUAAACCUCUUUUCCCUGAGAAGAAGAUCUGACGGUAUCAGGGGAAUAAGCAUCGGCUAACUUCGUGCCAGCAGCCGCGGUAAUACGAGGGAUGCAAGCGUUAUCCGGAAUUAUUGGGCGUAAAGCGUCCGCAGGUGGCUCUGUAAGUCUGUCGUUAAAGAAUGGGGCUUAACCCCAUACAGGCGAUGGAAACUACAAGGCUAGAGUUUGGUAGGGGUCACGGGAAUUCCUAGUGUAGCGGUGAAAUGCGUAGAUAUUAGGAAGAACACCAGCGGCGAAAGCGCGUGACUGGGCCAGUACUGACACUCAUGGACGAAAGCUAGGGGAGCGAAGGGGAUUAGAUACCCCUGUAGUCCUAGCCGUAAACGAUGAUAACUAGGUGUUGCCCGUAUCGACCCGGGCAGUGCCGUAGCCAACGCGUUAAGUUAUCC
rnacentral:rRNA from 1 species